CUCCCUAAAUUGCCCAGGCUGACCUUAAACUUGCCAUCCUCCUGGCUCAGCUUCCCAAAUCACUGAGAUUACAGGUGUGCGCCACUGCACCUGACAGUAAAAUAAAUAAUUCCAAAAGGUGUUAGGAAUACUUUCUCCUUGAGGAAAGAACAUUUCAUGAAUGUAACUGAAUCUGACUCUUUGCUGACUUAAGUUCUGGCCAAAAUCUUUCUUCUUUCCUUCCUUCUCUCUUUUACCUCCUUUCCUCUCCUCUACCUCUUGCUAGUCUAUAUGCCUACUUGCUUUAAGACAAGUUGUCUUAAAGCACCUAUGGUGUGUCACCCCAUGUCCAGGUGUGGGGACAGAGAAAGUAUAGGCAGUGGGCUGGAAUAGGCACCAAAUCAUGGAAUGUUCCUGAGACAUGGCCUUAUAGAUUAAGUUCUGAAUCCUAGUUUGUUUCCUGAGGAUUUGCUUUUCUUCUCCUAAAGGUCAACCUAACUGAGUUCUAGGUACUUUGGUUCAAGUUAAUGGAGGUUUAAUUGAACAGGGCUCUGACACCAGGACAGUCCUGAUAAAUCGAAUACAGACAGGUGGGAAUUGGCUAGACCUGGAUUUGAAUCCUAGUUCUUACCAUUUCCCGCCAGUGGAAUGUUACAUAACCAGUCUUUCUGGACCACCUACUAUGCACUUGGCACUGUGUUGAAUAUUUCACAUGCAUGAUCUCAGUUGAUCACUGAGCUCUGAAAGCAUUUCACGAGAAAUCCCAGGAAAAGAUCUGGGUAUGGUGGUG
rnacentral:lncRNA from 1 species